CUCUUUUCGGACUCAGCCCACCUGCACCCAGGUGAAAUAAACAGCUUUACUGCUCUCACACAAAGCCUGUUUGGUGGUCUCUUCACACGGACGCGCAUGAAAUUUGGUGCCAUGACUCGGAUCGGGGGACCUCCCUUGGGAGAUCAAUCCCCUGUCUUCCUGUUCUUUGCUCCGUGAGAAAGAUCCACCUACAACCUCAGGUCCUCAGACCGACCAGCCCAAGGAACAUCUCACCAAUUUUAAAUCAGACUGAGUCUCGCUCUGUUGCCCAGGCUGGAGUGCAGUGGCACGUCGGGUCACUGCAAACCUCCCGCUCCUGGGUUCAAGCGAUUCUCCUGCCUCAGUCUCCUGAGUAGCUGGGAUUACAGGCAUGAACCACCACGCCCGGACUUCCUGCCCUUUGAAUUUACCAAGAAGAGAGUCUUGCUCUGUUGCCAGAUUGGAGUGAAGUGGCGCGAUCUCAGCUCACUGCACCCUCUGACUCCCUGAUUCAAGUGAUGCUCCUGCCUCAGACUCCCAAGUAUUUCCUAUAUCUUCCUGUCUUUUCCAUGGCCAAAAAUGAUCAAGUAAAGAACAUUAAAGAAGAAAUAAAUUACUACAUAUUAAAAAAUACAUACUGUAAGAUGUUCUUUGUACAAAAAUGUGACAACUUCAAUAAGAGUAACUUGGACAACCUGAGGCAUUAAUUGAGGAUCAAUAUGAUGACUUUACAUUGAGAAUCACAUAUACCCUCUGAAUAAAUUUAAAAAAUGAAAUUUUUUAAUUUUCAUUAAAAAUUAAAUUUUUUUGAGUGAUGAAAAUACUCAAUCACAUUAUUUUCAAAUUGUUGAUAAGCAUGGAAAUUAUCAGAGAACCAGAAUAUUCAAGGUUUAUCUUUCCUGUUUUUGUCUUAAAUCACAACUAUGUGUUAAAUAAUUUGUAUGACCUAUUUCAGUGGCAGUAGGUUAAAUAAAAUUCUGUUUGUAUC
rnacentral:lncRNA from 1 species